rnacentral:rRNA from 1 species
AGCGAACGCUGGCGGCAGGCCUAACACAUGCAAGUCGAACGGACUCUUCGGAGUUAGUGGCGGACGGGUGAGUAACACGUGGGAACGUGCCUUUAGGUUCGGAAUAAGCCCGGGAAACUGGGUCUAAUACCGAAUGUGCCCUUCGGGGGAAAGAUUUAUCGCCUUUAGAGCGGCUCGCGUCUGAUUAGCUAGUUGGUAGUGUAAUGGACUACCAAGGCUACGAUCAGUAGCUGGUCUGAGAGGAUGACCAGCCACAUUGGGACUGAGACACGGCCCAAACUCCUACGGGAGGCAGCAGUGGGGAAUCUUGCGCAAUGGGCGAAAGCCUGACGCAGCCAUGCCGCGUGAAUGAUGAAGGUCUUAGGAAUGUAAAAUUCUUUCACCGGGGACGAUAAUGACGGUACCCGGAGAAGAAGCCCCGGCUAACUUCGUGCCAGCCGCCGCCGUAACAC